rnacentral:rRNA from 1 species
CUUGCUCCUUUGACGUUAGCGGCGGACGGGUGAGUAACACGUGGGCAACCUACCCUAUAGUUUGGGAUAACUCCGGGAAACCGGGGCUAAUACCGAAUAAUCUAGUUCACCUCAUGGUGAACUAUUAAAAGACGGUUUCGGCUGUCGCUAUAGGAUGGGCCCGCGGCGCAUUAGCUAGUUGGUGAGGUAAUGGCUCACCAAGGCGACGAUGCGUAGCCGACCUGAGAGGGUGAUCGGCCACACUGGGACUGAGACACGGCCCAGACUCCUACGGGAGGCAGCAGUAGGGAAUCUUCCACAAUGGGCGAAAGCCUGAUGGAGCAACGCCGCGUGAGUGAAGAAGGAUUUCGGUUCGUAAAACUCUGUUGUAAGGGAAGAACAAGUACAGUAGUAACUGGCUGUACCUUGACGGUACCUUAUUAGAAAGCCACGGCUAACUACGUGCCAGCAGCCGCGGUAAUACGUAGGUGGCAAGCGUUGUCCGGAAUUAUUGGGCGUAAAGCG